rnacentral:rRNA from 1 species
UGGGAAUCUUGCGCAAUGGGGGAAACCCUGACGCAGCGACGUCGCGUGGAGGACGAAGGAUUUAGGUCUGUAAACUCCUUUUUCAGGGAAAGACUUAGGACGGUACCCUGAGAAUAAGCACCGGCUAACUACGUGCCAGCAGCCGCGGUAAGACGUAGGGUGCAAGCGUUGUCCGGAUUUACUGGGCGUAAAGGGCGCGUAGGCGGUCUGUUAAGUGUAGAGUGAAAUCUCCAGGGCUCAACCCGGAAACUGCUCUGCAUACUGGCAGACUUGAGGGACGAAGAGGUAUGUGGAAUUCCUGGUGUAGCGGUGAAAUGCGUUGAUAUCAGGAGGAACACCCAUGGCGAAGGCAGCAUACUGGUCGUUUCCUGACGCUGAGGCGCGAAAGCGUGGGUAGCAAACAGGA